GGCGCAUAGAAGAGUGGGUGGGUCUGGCGAUUGGCAUGCAAUACAUUGAAGGCAUAUGAUAGUUAUUUUAGUAUUUUAAAGUAAUUUUCGUAUUUUAUGUCCAUGUAAGUAUUGCUAAAUACUUCUGUGACAUAGUAACAAAUAUUGCUUACGUCAAUAAACUUUAAUAAGUAGUUAAAAAGUUUUAACUAAGUAAUUUGGAAGAUUGAAGAAAGCUAGGUUAACAAAUUUUAUGUUUUAUAAGUUUAAUAAAAAAUAAUAUUGAGCAUCCCUAAAAUAGAUUUUAGGUAAAAUCAUCAGGGUAAUAUAUAUUUUAUUAUUUUAGGUACUUAGUAAUACCACAUUGUAUCUUAAAUUUGAACUUUUAAUUUAAAUAAAGUAUCCAAUAAAAUCGCUUGUGUGCAGUGUUGCCAGAGAAAUUUUUGUAAAUGCACCGGAAUGACUGGAAUAGUGACACAAAGUACUAAACCAACACAUUUUGUACAAAAACUUAAAAAAACGUCGUUUAAUAUUAUUUGAAGCAAAUUUCUUAUGUCACAAAAUUUUAGGGUUUUACUUUAGGAGACUUUAGUAUCAAAAGUUUGGUUGUUAAUUGUAUCAAAUUGGUACAAUUUUAACAACUCUGGCAACGCUGAAUUGCCUGCCAUACGUCCUGUCAUUAAAAAUCACGUGGUUUGGAUUGCCUACUUGCACACUUGAUCCAACGUUGCCAAGUCACUAAAAUCUCAAUAUUUGACACCAAUUUGACAAUUGACAGAUUAUCUUGUAAAUAAAUAAAUAAAUCUAAAUAGUUAUCCUAACAAAACAAAGUCGGGAACAAUGGAUAAAAGCCAGAAGGAGAACAAAACUAAAGUUAAAAUAUGAAAGAAUAUGCAAUAAACAUUGUGUAAGUGAAAAGCCAGCCACUUUAAAAAGAUAUUCCAAACCAAAACAUGAGUUACCAAAGCAGGCAAUAAAAAGAAAAGGUGAUCUAGAAUGCAAGAAAAGAGCUGAUGAAAGAAGUAAAUGUAAAGAAAAUAAUGGGGAGACUUCUCUUGACCAUGAACAAACACCAGAUAUUUUAAUAUGUAGAAAAAGAAAAAACUGCUGGAACUUUAAUUAAAGGCUUUUGACUAGUGAAGAUUUGGAUAAACAACAGGAGUUACUUUGGGCUAUAGCUACGUGCAAAUUUAUUUUCUUGUGGCUUCCUAUGUUUAUUCUUAUUAACUAUACACUUUGAUAUGUUUUUAGUCGCAUGAAGAUUUUAUAGUUUAUUAUUUUAUGUAUAUUGUUAUAUUUGUGUUUUAUAAACAUUAUUAUUAUUAUUACUUUAAUUUCCAUUAAAUAAAUUAA